GCCCCCAUAGUCUAGUGGCCUAGGACGUCGGAUUCUCAGUCCGAAAGCCGGGGUUCGACUCCCCGUGGGGGUA
rnacentral:tRNA from 1 species